rnacentral:rRNA from 1 species
GAUGGACGCUGGCGGCGUGCCUAAUACAUGCAAGUCGAGCGAACGGACGAGAAGCUUGCUCCUCUGAUGUUAGCGGCGGACGGGUGAGUAACACGUGGAUAACCUACCUAUAAGACUGGGAUAACUUCGGGAAACCGUAGCUAAUACCGGAUAAUAUUUUGAACCGCAUGGUUCAAAAGUGAAAGACGGUCUUGCUGUCACUUAUAGAUGGAUCCGCGCUGCAUUAGCUAGUUGGUAAGGUAACGGCUUACCAAGGCAACGAUGCAUAGCCGACCUGAGAGGGUGAUCGGCCACACUGGAACUGAGACACGGUCCAGACUCCUACGGGAGGCAGCAGUAGGGAAUCUUCCGCAAUGGGCGAAAGCCUGACGGAGCAACGCCGCGUGAGUGAUGAAGGUCUUCGGAUCGUAAAACUCUGUUAUUAGGGAAGAACAUAUGUGUAAGUAACUGUGCACAUCUUGACGGUACCUAAUCAGAAAGCCACGGCUAACUACGUG